AGCCGCAAUCAUACCAUGUUGGAAACACCGGUUCUCUUCUGAUCACCGAAGUUAGGCAACGGUGGGCCCGGUUAGUAUUUGCAUUUGUGACCGGCUGGGAAUAUCGGGUGUUGCGGUCG
rnacentral:rRNA from 1 species